GACGAACGCUGGCGGCGUGCUUAACACAUGCAAGUCACGGGGGUCCCGGGGGCAACCUUGGGAUAACCGGCGAACGGGUGCGUAACACGUGAACAACCUGCCCUCGUGUGGGGGAUAGCCGGGCUAACGCCCGGGUAAUACCGCAUACGUUCUCUUUGGGGAGUCCCGAGGAGAGGAAAGCUCCGGCGCACGGGGAGGGGUUCGCGGCCUAUCAGCUAGUUGGCGAGGUAACGGCUCACCAAGGCGACGACGGGUAGCUGGUCNGAGAGGGCGCACGGACACACUGGAACUGAAACACGGUCCAGACUCCUACGGGAGGCAGCAGUGGGGAAUUUUGCGCAAUGGGGGAAACCCUGACGCAGCAACGCCGCGUGGAGGAUGAAGGUCUUUGGAUUUGUAAACUUCCUUUCGAUCGGGACGAUUAUGACGGUAACCGGAAGAAGAAGCACCGGCUAACUCUGU
rnacentral:rRNA from 1 species